rnacentral:lncRNA from 1 species
ACCUGGGACCCAAAAUAUUCCAUAACAGAGAAAUUCGGUCCCACACAGUGUGUGAGCACAUGAGAGAGCAUCCAUGCACAAUCCCAGUGUGCACAUGGAGGUCAAAGGACAAUCUCGGGUGUCACUCCUCACCUACCUUGUCUGAGACAGGGUCUUUCUCUGUAUCCCUGGCAGUCCUGGAAAUUGCUGUGUCGACCAGGCUAUGAAGAAUGGUGACUGUCACUAGCAGACCAAGAGAAUCUGAUAAACAAGCACACCCAAGUCAUCUUCAGAGUCACUGCACUAUUAUGGACGGAUGUCUAAGGAACCAGCUGCCCUGUCACAUGUGAGGUGAGUAGCUGUGCUCCUCAUUUCUCUCCUGCCUGCCUGGUGACGGCUGCAGUGACUCACAUGCCAAUUACCCUGAGGUAGCUCCUGUCUUACAGUCUCACAGAGCUGCAGGCAGCCUGGCCUGGUGAUGAUAAAUGCCUUAAAUUCCAGCACUCGGGAGG